GCCAGCCCCGCCGAGGCAUCCCGCACCGCCUGGGCCCGGCUGGGCUGGGGGCGCCGACGCAGCAGCCGCGGGGUCGGGAGGCGGCCGGGAGGGAGGCAGGGCCCAGGACGCAAGGUGGCGACAAGUCGCGUUUGGCCCCGGGGCCUGUGGGGUCACCUUCUCUUCCUCUCUUCUGCCACCCCAAGUCGUCUGUGUUGCGUGUCAUGCAGUGGGAGAGCACCUUGGUCCGGACCUCAAGCUACCCACGUUCUAGUCCUGCCUCUGUCAUUUCCUAGAGCUGUGGCCUCGGGUAAGUCACCUCACCUCUCUGGGCCUCAGUUUCCUCAUUUGUAAAGUGAUGGGUUUGCUUAGAUGAUCGCUG
rnacentral:lncRNA from 1 species